GACGAACGCUGGCGGCGUGCUUAACACAUGCAAGUCGAGCGGUAAGGCCCUUUCGGGGGUACACGAGCGGCGAACGGGUGAGUAACACGUGGGUGACCUGCCCUCAGCUCUGGGAGUAAGCCUGGGAAACUGGGUCUAAUACUGGAUAUGACUCCAUGACGCAUGUUGUGGGGUGGAAAGCCUUGUGCGGCUGAGGAUGGGCCCGCGGCCUAUCAGCUUGUUGGNGGGGUGAUGGCCUACCAAGGCGACGACGGGUAGCCGGCCUGAGAGGGCGACCGGCCACACUGGGACUGAGACACGGCCCAGACUCCUACGGGAGGCAGCAGUGGGGAAUCUUGGACAAUGGGCGCAAGCCUGAUCCAGCCAUGCCGCGUGAGUGAAGAAGGCCUUAGGGUUGUAAAGCUCUUUUACCAGGGACGAUAAUGACGGUACCUGGAGAAUAACG
rnacentral:rRNA from 1 species